rnacentral:rRNA from 1 species
UGGGGAAUAUUGCACAAUGGGCGAAAGCCUGAUGCAGCAACGCCGCGUGAGGGAAGACGGUCUUCGGAUUGUAAACCUCUGUUUUCGGUGACGAACAAAUGACGGUAACCGAGUAGGAAGCCACGGCUAACUACGUGCCAGCAGCCGCGGUAAUACGUAGGUGGCAAGCGUUAUCCGGAAUUACUGGGUGUAAAGGGAGCGCAGGCGGGAUAGCAAGUCAGCUGUGAAAUACCGGGGCUUAACCCCGGGGCUGCAUUUGAAACUGUCAGUCUUGAGUGUCGGAGAGGUAAGCGGAAUUCCUAGUGUAGCGGUGAAAUGCGUAGAUAUUAGGAGGAACACCAGUGGCGAAGGCGGCUUACUGGACGAUAACUGACGCUGAGGCGCGAAAGCGUGGGUAGCAAACAGGAUUAGAUACCCUGGUAGU